UUCAAUAAUAGGGGGAUGGUUUUUUUCUAUCCAAGAGAUAUCUUUUAUUUUGUACACUUUCCGGGGUUUCCAGCUUUUGCAUUGGUCCAUAAUAGCCCCUAAAACUCAAAAAAGAAAACCUAUCUUUUAGUCCCUUCUGAAAAAUGAGAGGAGAGGUUGCAAUACAAAUUUCUAAGGUUUUUGAUUAAUUGAUUGAUCUUUUCAAACGAGAUGCAAAAGUUGGAAUUUCGAGUUUGAAUUCCUUGAUUAGUUCAAAUCGCUAUUUGGAUCCAUCUCUGAAUCGAUGAAGAGCAUUCCCUUAAAUGGAUAUUUAAAGCUCACGAGAAAUUUAUCGAGAAUGCCACUUUUGGCUUUGGUUUUUAUUUUUUCCUCUUGCAAUUGGUAUUUAUUACUAUGAUCCUGACUAUUUCAAUCAUCAUUGUGAACGAAUUCAGCUCCUUCAAAGUGACAUAACACCCACGUAUCUUUUGAAGGAUCUUAAUAGAGAUGGACAGUUAAAAGCUAAAACAAGAAUAGUCUCUUCACUUAAUCAUGUUGAAUUACCAUUUGAAGUUGCCAACCCGGCUAGUUUUACUGCCAUGACUCAAUUAAUACCUCAGGUUUGUGUUAAUCAAGUCUUGUGUUAUUUUUUCAGGUAUGUCUUGUCAAACAUGUUCUUGUAGCUUAAUCAGUUGGCCGAGUAGUAUACUACUCUUGUUCAUCUUCUUGGUGGGACGUUAGCAGAGGAUGAAAAACUAGUAAUAAAUAUGUUUCGUUAGCUUCCUCCUUCUUAAGGGCUAUCCCUAGCUCCUCCGUCUCAGCCGACUUUCUCUAUCAGUUAGUUCAGUUGCUUCCUUGCCUUAUUUUUCUGCUCUUAUAAAAAAAUUGGAGUUUGACAGUUACCAACUUGUCAAUUCUUGUAUGCUUUUGCAGCUUCUUAGUGUACUACCGAACAAAGGCGCCCUUCUUAUCAUCAACCUGAAGCUCAAUUGCUAAGUUGAAACUAUUAAUGCAGGUAUAGCUGUUAGAGAUUGUUAGUAGCAUUGUUCAGCAUAAUGUCUCUAUAGAAAACCCAGGCGACAAAAGAAUUUGUUUCAAGGGAUAUGAAUCGCAUCUUAGUCUCUAUAUGAAUCACAUCUUAGACAUAGCAAUUCCUGUUACCAGUCAUAUGGAACUAUUUAUGUGUACAGUACUUUUUUCUCUAGUCUUUGAUGAGAAACAUGAGACUAAAAGCUUGUUGGAACUACGAGUCAAGGGUGGGAAUAUGACUUUUGUUUAUUGGAUGAAGCUUACAAAUUAUGGACCUAGUCUUUUGAAGUAUUGCAGUAUGCUACUUCUCAAUCAGCAUUAUGGCUUCCUUAAGCAGAGUAUACAAGCGGUGGUCGAAACAGUUUUUCAUUAUAUAAAAUUUCUUACUCAUGUUAUGUUUUUUAUUCUAUUUUCUUGUCGACUUUAUGUCUC